GAUGAACGCUGGCGGCGUGCCUAAUACAUGCAAGUCGAGCGAACAGAUAAGGAGCUUGCUCCUUUGACGUUAGCGGCGGACGGGUGAGUAACACGUGGGUAACCUACCUAUAAGACUGGGAUAACUUCGGGAAACCGGAGCUAAUACCGGAUAACAUUUGGAACCGCAUGGUUCUAAAGUGAAAGAUGGUUUUGCUAUCACUUAUAGAUGGACCCGCGCCGUAUUAGCUAGUUGGUAAGGUAACGGCUUACCAAGGCGACGAUACGUAGCCGACCUGAGAGGGUGAUCGGCCACACUGGAACUGAGACACGGUCCAGACUCCUAAGGGAGGCAGCAGUAGGGAAUCUUCCGCAAUGGGCGAAAGCCUGACGGAGCAACGCCGCGUGAGUGAUGAAGGGUUUCGGCUCGUAAAACUCUGUUAUUAGGGAAGAACAAAUGUGUAAGUAACUGUGCACGUCCUGACGGUACCUAAUCAGAAAGCCACGGCUAACUACGUG
rnacentral:rRNA from 1 species